AUGACAAAAAAAAAAAAAAAAAAGAAACCGGAGAUGAUAAAGUUCAACGUUGGAGUUUGACUCAGAUUGAAGCAACCUCUGUGGAGGAUCUGAAAACAUUAUUUCUUAAUUAGGUUACCAGAGAAUUGCUUAGACAUCUUAGAUUGUAGUUCACAUACAACGGGUCAAACAUUGUCAGCUUACGGAGAUCGAGAUUAAAAAUUUGUGCUUGUCUGGUUUUGGAUAAAGGAUAAUGGAAUAUUAGGAAGGGUAACUACUAAAUUAAAUUGGCUGAGGUGAGGAAGAGAUGGCUGCAAAACUUUUACAUUCUUUAGCAGAUGAUAAUCCAGAUUUGCAGAAGCAAAUAGGAUGCAUGACUGGGAUUUUUCAGCUUUUUGAUCGCCACCAUGUCAUCACUAACAGGCGUCUCAGCCAGAGGAAGCUGCCUCCAGGUGAUUCCCACUUGAAUAAUGGCAGCUCUGAAAGGGAAUCCUUUAAUGUUUAUCAUCGUGCUAUGGCAGCUCAAAUGAAUUUAAACAAGAGUUUGAACGAGAAGCAAAGGAUUUCUACAGAAUCAUCAAGACCAUCUUUCUCAUCCUCUUGUUCAUCCUCCUUGUCCUCUUUGGAUUGUAACAAAACAGCUCAACCAGAAGAGUCUUCCUUUGACAGAAUUAUUUUCCCAGAAAUUCCUUCAAGGGAUGCUGUUCUAACCCAGCCAUGUACCUCUCCACAUUUGGGGCAGCAAUCCCUUGAUCUUCAAGAUGUUGUCAAGGAUUCAAUGUACAGGGAAGCCAGAGGGCUAUCAGUCAAAACUUCAACUAAAGAGGAAGCAGUGGCUCAUGCAGUGAAGCAUAAAGACUCUCCCAGGCCAUUACAACUUUCCAAAUAUGUAGAUAGAUCUUAUGGAAUUGGAAACAAGGGGAAGCAAAAUUCUCCUGUUGAUCUCAAGGAGUCCCUUAGAGUUCUUGCUAAACUUCAAGAAGCACCAUGGUAUUACAAUGAAACUAGAGAAAGGCCAAGAUCAUUGCAUGAACUGAAAGAUGGGUCUUCAAAUAAAAUUUCAAAAGGCGCUCCUCGGUUUUCUUUUGAUGAGAGGGAGAUGAAUCGUUUGUCUUUUGAAUCUCGAGACACCAUCAAGUCCAACCUAAAGCUAAAAGAGCUGCCUAGACUUUCACUGGACAGCAGAGAAUUUUCAAUGCGAGGUUCCAAAUCUGAUUCAAAAUCAAGUUUCACUUCAAAAGAUCUACAAAAUGGUGUAAAUUCAAAUGACAAGGUCUAUAACAUAAAACAAUCACUGGGAACAAAGAAGUGCCCUCCUAAUGUGGUAGCUAAGUUGAUGGGUUUGGAAGCAUUGCCAGAUUCUGCAUCCACUAGUUCUAGUCAGUCAGAUUUAAUCAAGAGCUUCCCUGUUGACCAUAACGAUUCCUUCUCAACAUCAUCGAAAGGAAAUGAUCUGAAGAUGGAAAUUCGGAUUCCAAAGUCCCCAAGAUGCUCUUCAAAAGAGCUAAUUUCACCAUGGCAGAAAAAUCCUGAUUUGAUCAUGAAACCCAUUUCAAGGUUGCCAAUUGAAUCAGCACCAUGGAAGCAACCAAAAGGAAGUCAAGCUUCUCAGAAACUUGCAAAAAUUUCAGCUGAGAUACCAAAUCCCUUUUUGACAGUUUACAGUGAGAUCGAAAAGAGAUUGAAAGAUAUGGAGUUCAAUCAAUCUGGAAAGGAUCUCAGAGCUCUCAGACAGAUUCUGGAAGCAAUGCAGACCAAGGGGUUAUUGAAGACCAGAAAAGAAGAACGAGGAACAAACUUUGGAAUCCAAAGGGAGUAUGGACCAAACUGUAGUAGUCCUAGUCAAAGGCCAAGAUUGUUAGGCCAACGCAACCAACAGAGCAGCCAUCUUAGUACUUCCACAACUACGGGCUUUGGUUCUUUGAGAACUUAUGAAUCCCCUAUCGUGAUCAUGAAACCAGCCAAGCUGGUUGAAAAAUCUUGCAUUCAUGCUUCCUCAGUAAUUCCAAUAGAUAGCCUUUCUGGUCUUCAUAAAAUUCCAAACAGUGGACAUGCAGAUGGUAAAAAUAGAUCAGCUAAUAACCGUACAGCUAAAGAUCAAUCUCCUGAAAUCAGUCACCGGGACUCUGCUGCCAAAUGCAGUGACAAGAAAGCCAGUGUGAGGAAUAGAUCAACUCAAUCUGGAACAAGACCUCAACAAUUGCCAAAAGAAAACACCACAAGUUCAGUAAAAAGCUCAGGAUCUGUGAGCCCAAGAUUGCAACAGAAAAAGCUGGAGUUAGAGAAGCAAUCUCGUCCACCUACCCCUCCAUCUGAUUCAAACAGGUCUAGAAGGCAAUCUAGCAGGAUGUCAACUGAAUCUGGUUCCCUUGGUAGGAAAAACAGACUGAAAGCUCACAAAUUGCCACAGAGUGAUGAUCAACUGAGUCAGAUAAGUAAUGAAUCCAGUCAGCAAGGUGAUGAUGUAUCUCUGCAGUCUGACAGCACUGUUAUCUUUGACUCAGAGACAGAUGUGGAAGUCACCAGCGCUGAACAAUCUACUGAGAUCAAUGGCAGCCAGAGUCCAUCCACGAAGGCUGGCAAUCACUUGGUUUUUGGCUUCAAGCAGAAAAAACCAAAUUCAAGGUUGGAAGAUGGAACAUUGGCAGAAUUUGCAGUUGAUACCCCAGAGCAUCCUAGCCCCAUCUCUGUUCUUGAUGCUUCAGUGUAUAGAGAUGAUACACUGUCUCCAGUAAAGCAGAUACCAAAUGUGGCUAAAGGUGAUGGGGCUGAAGAUUCCAAGGAUCAACAGAGUGAUAAUCAGUGGAACCUAGCAGAUAAUUUCUUAUCUAAAAAUGUGGGGUCUGGUCUUUCAUCAGAAAUCAGUCGCAAGAAAUUACAAAACAUAGAGAGUUUGGUACAGAAACUUAGACGACUGAACUCCACUCAUGAUGAAGCCAGCACAGAUUAUAUUGCAUCACUCUGUGAGAACACAAAUCCAGACCACAGAUACAUCUCUGAGAUCUUGUUAGCUUCGGGUCUUCUACUCAGGGACCUUGGCUCUGGUAUGACGACAUUUCAGCUUCACUCUUCAGGUCACCCCCUUAACCCCGAGCUAUUCUUUGUAUUGGAGCAAACCAAGGCCAGCACUUUGCUUUCAAAAAAGGAAAGCAGCCUUGGAAAGAGCUCCCAUUCAAAGCCACACCCUGAGAGGUUUCACCGGAAGCUCAUAUUUGAUGCUGUUAAUGAGAUGAUUGUCAAGAAGUUAGCAUUAGCUGUACCCUCUCCCGAGCCACGGUUGAAAUCUGAUAAAUUGGCAAAGAAGGCCCUCAGUGCUCAAAAGCUUCUCAAAGAGUUGUGUUCAGACAUAGAACAGCUUCAAUCGAAGAAAUCAGAAUGCCGCUUAGAGGAAGAGGAGGAUGGUCUAAAAGGCAUUUUGUGGAAUGAUGUGAUGCAUCGAUCAGAGAGUUGGAUAGAUUUUCAUAGUGAGGUUUCUGGUAUAGUGUUAGAUGUUGAGCGUUCUAUCUUUAAGGAUUUAGUUGACGAAAUUGUGAUGGGCGAGGCUGCUGGUUUGCGCACCAAACCAAGUAGGCGCAGGCAGCUGUCUGCAAAAUAGCAUCUUGUAAUUCUUGAUUUUACCUUUUGUCUUUUCUU
rnacentral:misc_RNA from 1 species